rnacentral:ncRNA from 2 species
CGUCAUCUAAUUAGUGACG